rnacentral:rRNA from 1 species
GGCAGACGGGUGAGUAACACGUUGAGUAAUCUGCCCCCGAGAUUGGGAUAACAGUCCGAAAGGACUGCUAAUACCGGAUAAGCCUCCGCGACCUAGGUCGAGUGGGGAAAAGGCGGGGAUCCUUCGGGACCUGUCACUUGGGGAUGAGCUCGCGUCCCAUUAGGUAGUUGGUGAGGUAAUGGCUCACCAAGCCCGAGAUGGGUAGCUGGUCUGAGAGGGCGAUCAGCCACACUGGAACUGAGACACGGUCCAGACUCCUACGGGAGGCAGCAGUGGGGAAUCUUGCGCAAUGGACGAAAGUCUGACGCAGCCAUGCCGCGUGGGCGACGAAGGCCUUCGGGUUGUAAAGCCCUGUUCGAUGGGACGAAGGGCCUGUGGUUGAAUGAGCCAUGGGAGUGACGGUACCGUCGAAGGAAGCACCGGCUAACUCCGUGCCAGCAGCCGCGGCAAUACGGA